UACGUAGGGGGCAAGCGUUGUCCGGAUUUAUUGGGCGUAAAGAGCGUGUAGGCGGCCAGGUAGGUCAGCUGUGAAAACUCGAGGCUCAACCUCGAGACGUCGGUUGAAACCACCUGGCUAGAGUCCGGAAGAGGAGAGUGGAAUUCCUGGUGUAGCGGUGAAAUGCGCAGAUAUCAGGAAGAACACCCGUGGCGAAGGCGGGUCUCUGGGCCGAUACUGACGCUGAGGAGCGAAAGCGUGGGGAGCGAACGGG
rnacentral:rRNA from 1 species